AUUGAACGCUGGCGGCAGGCCUAACACAUGCAAGUCGAGCGAGCGGCGGACGGGUGAGUAAUGUAUGGGGACUGCCCGAUAGAGGGGGAUAACUACUGGAAACGGUGGCUACUACCGCAUACUAUCGGAUAACCCAUAUGGGAUUAGCUAGUAGGUGGGGAAAAGGCUCACCUAGGCGACGAGCUCUAGCUGGUCUGAGAGGCGGUUCAGCGACACUGGGACUGAGAAACGUCCCAGACUCCUAGGGCGGCAGCGGUGGGGAAUAUUGAACAAUGGGCGAAAGCCUGAUGAAGCCGUGCGGCGUGUAUGAAGAAGGCCUUAGGGUUGUAAAGUACUUUCAGCGGGGAGGCGUUACCCGCAGAAGAAGCACCGGCUAACUCCGUGCCAGCAGCCGCGGUAUUC
rnacentral:rRNA from 1 species